AAACAACGUGGUGAACCUUCUUCUGGUACUGCAAAAAGUUAUUCAACAUUCAUGGGGGAAACCAUUUGAAUAGGAGAAUAAAAUCUGAAACAGGUUUCUGAUACAUAUUGCUUCUCUUCUGUUGAAGGUUCGGUCACUACAGAGGCCUCUUCCCUGUUCAUGCACAACCGAGGAAGCAAGGAUGAAGACAAACAGGAUCAGUUGCAUUUGUGACGGAUUUGAAUUCAUACCCAAAUUUUCCUGACAGAUGACUUAGAAGCCUUGUGUCCCUGCGUUCCUCGUGGGGACGAUGAAUCUCUCCGUAUAACAUAACCUGUUGAAAAGGCUUUCGCAGAGUUCAGGGGCAAUGUCUGUCCGGACGAGUUCAGGUGAGACCAAGACCGACUGAAGAAAAUGCAACACUGUCUGC